GUGUGUGGCACUCCAGUUGGCAUUGAUUUGAUGACAUGGAAUUAUAUUAUUUCUUAUUUUAAAAACCAUAAAAAAAACUCAUUCACCAAAAUGUAGACAUUCUCUUAAACGAGUUUUCUCUUCUUGCCCUCAAACCCUAGCACUCUAUCGCCCUUUUCUCUGUCCUAUCUCCGACCACCAUAUCUUUCAAUGAAAACCCAAAGCAAUAUUCAAACUCCUUAUUUAUCCCAUGGCCUUCCUAAUGAAUCGAUUGAAUUUCUAUUUCGGAGAACAUCACCGUAGGCCACCCUAUCGUCAUGUCCGGCCUUGCAAUUUCAAACGAAGAAAAUGGACCAUCUUGGAGUCUCUUUGUGCGUAAGAUCUUCGAGAAACCAAACCGGGACAGAUUCGAGUUCCAUUUCUUCGUAUUCUUCCAACUCUGCCAGUGACCACCACACCGGAUUUGUUUAGGUAGCUGCGAGUUUCAUCCCUUCCUAGAGUGAGUGUCAUAUGUUCUUAAAAUUCUGAUUUUGUGCUCUAUUGUUGAAAAGAAUCAUGUUGUGUUAAAACCCUAAUUCCUCUUUUUCUCAAAUUAUGAUUGAAGAAGUAAUUAGUAUGUUAUAACCACUUAUGAUUGAGCAUAAUUAUUUGUUUUAGUUUUCUGACACUUUUUUGUGUUGGUUGUAGAAACGGUGUUUAUAUAUUUUUCUGAAGUCAUGUUUGAAAUCCAAUACAGUGUGAAAAGGAUUGUUUUCACAUCUUCUAUAAGUACUAUUACUGCUAAAGACAUCAAUGGAAAGUUGAAAUCCUUGAGUUUUGUUUUGUGGUGACAGGUUUAUGCACUUUCAAAGCUUCUCACAGAAUAAGUGGCAUUUAAAUUCGCAAAAGAGAACGGUAUCGAUCUUGUUUCAGUUAUAACAACCACUGUUGCAGGCCCUUUCUUCAUUGCUAAUGUACCGGCAAGUGCUAAAGUUCUACAGUCACCACUAACAAGUAACAGAUUUGAUUUCUACUUGCAUUUUUGUUCAAUCUGUUUAUAACAACGAAAGGAAGAAGAAGAAGAAAGGAAGAGAAAAAAGUGUUGGUUCUGUUCUUUUGAAGGAAUGAAUAUAGAGUGAAUGUGUCACUAAGGGAAAAGGAAUUAAUAUACAUGGUAGAAGCUACUGAAUUGAAGUCAUUGUGGUUCAUUGUGAUUGUUCUAUUUUGGCAGGUAUUUUGGGAUAAAGAUGACAAGAGAAAGGGAAAAUACAAUGAUUAGUGGACACCAUAUAAUGUGUAUUGAAUAUUAGAAGGAUUUAUAGUGUAAUGAUAUAUGUAGUGAAUUCUUGUUUCUUAUUCAUGGUAUUAGUGUUUUAUAGUGUGAUAUGAUUAUAAAGUUUUUGUAGCUUAUAUUAAUGGCUCAAUUGUGGUGUUUAUGUCCAGGAUUUACAAAAAUUUUAGUAGUAAAGUGACCUCUUAUUUUUUUUAGAAAAGCUUAUCCGAGAAAAGUUGCUGUAUUUUUUUUUUACAUAUUAUUAAUAAUUUGCGGGGGUUUUUAACCUCCCAAAACAAAGUUUUCGUAGUUUAAAAAAAUUAAUUUUUUAAUACAUAUGCUGAGUCACAAAUAAGCCUUGUUGUCAUGCCAGAUCAUCCAAUUUAACGCUUUCACAUUUAAAUUAACAGAAUGGAUCAAUUUGGGUAACGGAAGUUUUGUUAAGGGACUUAGUUGUAACGUUUAUUAUAUAAGGGACCAAAAUGAAACCUGAAAUUAAGUUAUGGGACUUCAGGACUAAAUAAGCCUUUUUUCUUUGUGUGACGUUUAACCAUGUAUAUUAAAAAAGGAAAGAGGGCAUGACCAAAAGAACAUCCUAUAAAUAGGGUCAACACUACGGUGUAUGCGUGGAAGUUUUAGUGCAGGAAAGAAAGCAAAAAUGUAAAAACAUCUAAUGGAUGCACUUCUCCAAAAGUAAAAUUGAAUUGUAAUAAAUUUGUUAAUUUGGGGGUAACAGUGAUCUUUUACCCAUCAUUCAUUUUCUUUUUCAGAGAAAGUAAAAACAGUCAUAGAAGAAAAGUGAUUGGUUGGAUUCACUGGGAUCAAAGACGUGGAUGAUUGUGAGACGUUGGAUUUGAUAGACAAGGAUUGAAAAUUUAAAUGGUUGAGAUUUAACAUUUUGUGUUUCUUUGAAUAACACGUGACAUGCAGCACAUGACGUAGUAAAGCUUUUCUUCAGUUCUGCUUCAUGAGUACACAUCAUUGGAGUUUUGGAGCAAUGUUGUUUCUCACAUAAAUUCACUUCAUUUUCUGGUUUUGGUGAUCACUCUACACAACUGCUACCUCUCCUUCUUUGAACAACACGUGACAUGCAGCACAUGAAGUAAUAAAGCUUUUCUCUUUAUAAAAGGAUACAACAACUUCUCGUCUGCUUCAAUCAUCAGCCAGUCCGUGUUUUCUUUGGAAGGAAAAAGAAAAAUGACGUUUAAUCAGAUCAGGAGCCUGGUUGGAACUCCAGUACCGACCGAAACAACUGCCGGAGAGGCACCGACCAUAGUAAAUGCAGCGACGGUGUGGAUAGCAUCGGCAAAAAAUAUACUUACAUGUGUUUGGUUCACAAGUGAUGUGUUUUGUACUUCAACAACUACUUUGAUUUCCUUGAUUAACAUAUGUAUAUCCCCUCUUUUGGGGAUUUCAGGAGAGUGAGAGAAGCUGAAUAUGAUAUACGACACUUCAUAAACAGCGUCGAUCAUUCUGUUUAAAAGCUUAACGCAAAAGUUGGAGCAAUAUGCAGUCGGGUGCGGAAUGAACUGAUUUCAUUUGUAUUGUUACUGUUAGUUUGAAAUGAAUUGAUUUGUAUAUUAACUCUCAUUUGUAUUUAUUUUUAGUUUGGAAUUGACUGAUUUGCAAUAAAUCUCAUUUGUAUUGUUACUCUUAGUUUGGAAUUGACUGAUAUUUGCAAUAAAUCUCAUUUGUAUUGUUCCUCUUAGUUUGGAGUGGACUGAUUUGCAAUAUUAAGUCUCAUUUGUAUUGUUACUCUUAGUUCUAUCCGUUUUCACAUGAAUUGAUUUUCUAUUUUAUGAUUCAUUUGUACUGUUACUUAUUUUAAAUAGUUUUGACACAAAUAGUGAAUCUCAUAGAAUAUGCUUGAAGUUUAACAACGAGUAAAAAACAUGUACCGGAAAUAAUUGAACUCAAGACGUUUUAGUGCACAAAAUACUGAUCUAUAAUUCUUGACUAUUCUUGUAAAUGUUUUUUACAAUGUGCCAAAAAUCUUUAUUUGAGGAUAAGUGUGGCCUAUUUUAAAUGUUCAUAUAUACUUUAGAUAAACAAAUGAGGAUCUAUACGAUGCUUGAUUUCGUCCUGAAAAAGAAUGUUAUUGAGUCAGUUUCAGAAACUACAUGGAUGCACUGAUAUUUGUUUAGCAGUUGGAACUGACUGGAUUCCAUAAACUUGGAAGACUCUCAAACUCAGUUCAUUUUUCCAAAGGGGUUGCAUUAUGUUACAACAUUUUAUUCUUUCUCCAAUCUUAGGUCAAAUUGCAUGAUGUUAGCAUAAUUUGCUUUACAGUAGCAAAUAGAAUUCAAAUGCCUGUUUGUAAUUUAUAGUUUCUUUGGGGCAACAUACUUUUGGGAGUCUUUUAGUGUUAGACCAUACUUUUGGGGUUUAAGAGGUUCAUGAUAGUGAGAGACGUGGCCUUAAAUUGUGGUUCACUUGGAUAUGGAAUAUUUGGAAGGUAAGAAACGGUUAACUAUUCGGCAAUAAGUGCUUGUAGACAGGAUGGUAAAGAAUAUAAAAACCACCUCUUAUAAUUGGCUUAAAACUUAAUCAAGUAGCAUCAAAUACAACAUAACUAUGUGGUAGUAAUGCCCAACAGCAAGCCCAGGCUCCUAGAGGUCCUUAAGUUUCAAGCUGAAGGUGUUGGUUUCA